AACGAACGCUGGCGGCAUGCCUAACACAUGCAAGUCGAACGAGACCUUCGGGUCUAGUGGCGCACGGGUGCGUAACGCGUUGGAACCUGCCCUUAGGUUCGGAAUAACUCCCCGAAAGGGGUGCUAAUACCGGAUAAUGUCUUCGGACCAAAGAUUUAUCGCCUUUGGAUGGGCCCGCGUUUGAUUAGCUAGUUGGUAGGGUAAAAGCCUACCAAGGAGACGAUCCAUAGCUGGUCUGAGAGGAUGAUCAGCCACACUGGGACUGAGACACGGCCCAGACUCCUACGGGAGGCAGCAGUGGGGAAUAUUGGACAAUGGGCGAAAGCCUGAUCCAGCAAUGCCGCGUGAGUGAUGAAGGCCUUAGGGUUGUAAAGCUCUUUUACCCGGGAUGAUAAUGACAGUACCGGGAGAAUAAGCUCCGGCUAACUCCGUG
rnacentral:rRNA from 1 species